UACGGGGGGGGCAAGCGUUGUUCGGAAUUACUGGGCGUAAAGGGUUCGUAGGUGGCCUGCUAAGUCACACGUGAAAUCCCUCAGCUUAACUGGGGAACUGCGUGUGAGACUGGCGGGCUUGAGUGCAGGAGAGGAACGCGGAAUUCCAGGUGUAGCGGUGAAAUGCGUAGAUAUCUGGAGGAACACCGGUGGCGAAGGCGGCGUUCUGGACUGCUACUGACACUGAGGAACGAAAGCCAGGGUAGCAAACGGG
rnacentral:rRNA from 1 species